UAACCCUGCACUAGCAGCAGCUGCUCGCGAAGGAUCAGUCUUCCCUGUUUUCAUUUGGUGCCCUGAAGAAGAAGGUCAGUUUCAUCCAGGAAGGGCUUCAAGAUGGUGGAUGAAACAGUCUCUUGCUCACUUGAACCAAUCCUUGAAGUCUCUUGGCUCCCACCUCACGUUUAUCAAAACACAUAGCACGGUUUCCGCUAUCUUGGACUGUGUCCGCGCCACUGGUGCCACAAAAGUCGUCUUCAACCACCUCUAUGGUAACUCAUCUUCAGUUCAUUUGGUUAGUUUAUCGAAUAUGCUUAGUUUUAAUGAAGUUAUGGUUUCCUUGGUUGUAGAUCCUGUUUCGCUAGUUAGAGACCAUAACGUAAAGGAGAAACUUAUGGAACGUGGGAUCUCUGUGCAAGGCUACAACGGUGAUCUAUUGUAUGAGCCUUGGGAGAUAAACUCCGAAAAUGGCAAACCUUUUACGAGUUUUGCUCCUUACUGGAAGAAAUGCUUAGACAUGUCGGUUGAAUCCGUUAUGCUUCCUCCUCCUUGGCGUUUGAUGCCUCUAACUGCAGGUAAAAUACCCAGGGCCGGUCCUGAGAUUUUAGACCCUGUAGGCGAUUUAGUAAAAAUUUCAACAACUUUUUUUUAAAAAAAUUGGGGACUUAUAUCUAAAUCAUUUUCAUUCGGUUUUGCCCAGGACCGGCCCUGGUAAAACCUUAAAAGAAUAUGUAAAAAGAACAUAAAACAUUUUCGACUUUUAUGGGGACACAACUGUUGAAAAAGUGUGUGUGUUUCUGUGUUCUUUAGCAGCUGAAGGGGUGUGGGCAUGUUCAAUAGAAGAACUAGGGCUAGAAGACGAGGCAGAGAAGCCAAGCAAUGCGCUCUUAACUAGAGCUUGGUCACCAGGCUGGAGCAACGCUGAUAAGACACUAACCGAGUUCAUCGAGAAACAGUUGAUAGACUACGCAAAGAACAGCAAGAAAGUAGUUGGGAACUCAACCUCGAUGCUCUCUCCCUAUCUCCACUUCGGGGAAAUAAGCGUCAGACGUGUUUUCCAGUGCGUCCGUAUGAAAAAAAUCAUAUGGGCAAGAGACAAAAACACUGAAGGAGAAGAGAGCGCUGAUCUUUUCCUUAGAGGGAUUGGUCAAAGAGAGUAUUCUCGGUAUAUAUGUUUCAACUUCCCUUUUACUCACGAGCAGUCCUUGUUGAGUCAUCUUCGUUUCUUCCCUUGGGACGCUGACGUUGGCAAGUUCAAGGCGUGGAGUCAAGGCAGGACUGGGUAUCCGUUGGUGGAUGCUGGGAUGAGGGAGCUUUGGGCUACUGGAUGGAUGCAUAACAGGAUAAGAGUCAUUGUUUCGAGCUUUGCUGUGAAGUUUCUCCUUCUUCCGUGGAAAUGGGGAAUGAAGUAUUUUUGGGAUACUCUUUUGGAUGCUGAUUUGGAAUGUGACAUCAUUGGCUGGCAGUAUAUCUCCGGGAGCUUACCUGAUGGCCACGAGCUUGAUCGCUUGGACAAUCCUGCGGUAAACUUACAUAUCUUUUACUAUAGAACUUGGUUUUCGGGUCCUCGAAUAUAUGGGCCUUACUUAAGCCCAUAUAUUGUAUUAUUAUCUACGGAUCUUUUUCCUAAUUUAAAUCUGAAUUUAUUAUUUAUUUAUUCCUUGGAGAUAAGUGGCAUGACACAGCAGCUCUUCGAUAUCUCCGAUAAAUAGAGACCGUAGUGAGCUCCCAAAGGCUAUAACUCACGAGCCUCCCCAGAAACCUCAAAUACCGAUCCAUUUCCCGGCGAUAAUCGACGAUCUAGAUCCGAUGGCGAAGGAACCAGUUCGCGUUCUCGUUACCGGUGCUGCAGGUAGCUUUAGCUUUUCUCAGAUCUUUGAUUUUUGACCUCGUGCUUACUGUAGUCAGAUCUCUGUGUAGUCGAUGUUAUAGAUCGAUGAAUCAGACGUUGAUUCUAGUGAUAGGAUGAGAUCUGAUUAGAUCCUCAUUUUGCUAGGCUUGAAACGAACCAUGUGAUUUUUAUAGUCUGAUGCUCCGUGGUAUUGUAAUCAUGCAUGAACCAGUUAAAACUGUAGAGUUUUGAUCUAGAAGCUGACGUGUUACCACAACGCUGAAGUCAACUUUAUUUAUUUAUUUAUUAUUUUAUUUGAUAGCAUAUUCAUGUUUGUUCGUUGACUAAAUUGGAUAUCUUAUUAUUUUAUAGAUUGAAAACGGUUUUGGUUAACUCUAUAUUGUAUGAUUUGGAUAUAGUUUAUAGUUUGUGAAUGAAAACGAUUGUGAUUUUUGAUGCAGGACAAAUUGGAUACGCUCUUGUCCCUAUGAUUGCGAGAGGUAUCAUGCUUGGUGCUGACCAGCCUGUGAUCCUCCACAUGUUGGAUAUUCCUCCUGCUGCUGAAGCACUCAACGGUGUCAAGAUGGAGUUGAUCGAUGCUGCUUUCCCCCUUCUCAAAGGUAGUUUCAUUUUCUGAUGUUGUAUUUUCAUUUUUUGCUCAAGUGAGAGAGAUAAUGAACAUUUGACGUGUUUUGUUCAGGUGUUGUUGCUACAACUGAUGCCGUUGAGGGAUGCACUGGAGUCAACGUUGCUGUUAUGGUUGGUGGUUUCCCGAGGAAAGAAGGAAUGGAGAGGAAGGAUGUUAUGACCAAGAACGUCUCCAUUUACAAGUCUCAGGCUACUGCUUUGGAGAAGCAUGCCGCUCCAAACUGCAAGGUAAAAAAAGAUCUGCGUGUCUUUUAAAUCAGUUUCUUUCUUGAAGACAAAAACAAAUGCUUUAUAUUCUCAAUUGGGUUCUAGUUUGUGAGACUCUUUCUCAAGACAUUUUUCUCUUUUUUUUUUAAUUUUCAGGUUCUUGUUGUUGCAAACCCUGCAAACACCAACGCAUUGAUCCUGAAGGAAUUUGCACCAUCCAUCCCUGAGAAGAACAUUACCUGUCUGACAAGGCUUGACCACAACAGGGCCUUGGGUCAGAUCUCCGAGAGGUUGAGCGUGCCCGUGUCUGAUGUUAAGAACGUGAUCAUCUGGGGAAACCACUCAUCCUCACAGUACCCAGAUGUCAACCACGCUAAGGUGCAGACAUCGGCUGGAGAGAAGCCAGUCCGUGAGCUCGUCAAGAACGAUGAAUACUUGAAUGGAGAAUUCAUCACCACCGUUCAGCAACGUGGAGCUGCUAUCAUCAAGGCGAGGAAGUUGUCAAGUGCACUUUCUGCUGCUAGCUCUGCUUGUGACCACAUCCGUGACUGGGUCCUUGGAACUCCAGAGGUUCAUAAUAACCCUCUUCCCAUUAUUCGCAGACCCGUUAUAAUAAACAGAUGAUUGUUGUUCUAAUAUGAGGUCUUUCUUUUGUUCAGGGUACAUUUGUUUCAAUGGGAGUAUACUCCGAUGGCUCUUACGACGUUCCAGCUGGACUUAUCUACUCCUUCCCUGUCACUUGCCGCAAUGGAGAGUGGAGUAUUGUCCAAGGUAAGAACAAGCCUUUACAAUUCAAAUACUUAAUUCUGAAUACCUUACCGUGUUCAUGCUAAAUUGAAUUUGUUUGAUCAGGGCUUCCCAUCGAUGAAAUGUCAAGGAAGAAGAUGGAUUUGACAGCAGAGGAGCUGAAGGAAGAGAAGGACUUGGCCUACUCAUGCCUCUCUUAAACAGCCAAUACUCUUCUUCCGAAGCCAUUUUUCAUCUAUCAGGUGUGAGAUCAUCAUAGCUGUUAGGGCUGUGUCUGAAUAAGAUCUCCAAACACUGUUUUAUAACCUCUUUGUGGGUUUGUCUUCGUAUUGAGCAUUGUCCCUGGUUUGUUUCUAAACCAGGAUAUCGUUUACUCUGUGGUUCAUGUGUCUUGUAUGGUUUUAUCCAUAAUAAUUUUUUAAAAAAUUGGUAACUUCAUGUUCUCCAUUAGUUUUGGUCUUAGUCAGUACUCAGUAGCCCAAAACUGAUACCGAGUUUGUGCAGUUAUGGGGAAUGGCGUUGUGUUGCAAGAGGGAACGUCUGGUUCUUGAACACUAGAUUAGAGGUUUCUAUUCUCGAUGGCCCAAUGAAUCAGAAAUCGAAUCAGAUUCAUGAGCCCACCAUGUAAAUGAAGAUAACUCAAUUUCCGCACUAAAGGCCUUACUAAAAUACUUCAAACAAAAUUUAAUUCCUUGUUAAAUAUCUAACGAUCCCAAGAAAAAAAUCUUGGAUGAGCAAAUGAAAAUGAGAUUUCAGUUAAAGAAAAGAUCCAAUAAUAUUGGAUUGCAACUAGUUUAGUGGAUAAAAGUUGUCUAACUACUUUUGUCUUGUGGAUAGAGUUGUCCACAUAUCUUGCAUGUGGCUAGUGUUACUCUACUCAACCAAACAUAAUCCCCAAGGUAAGAGUUCCUAGAUUGUUCUUGAUUAUACUUUCCUGGUUAGGCCAAGGCUUGUUUCUUAUUUAGUAGAUUUUCAUCUUUUGUUUUCUGACAGCUUCGUUGAAUCAUUCUCUGUUAGCUAUAUGUAUGAGCUUGUGGUCUGAAAAUUAAAUCAUGGCAGAAUCUGGACAGAGAGUGAAGCUUUAGCUGAUUUGGUCUCCAUCUCGGAUCAUAAACUAUGGCGACGAACAGAAAGACUAUAGUGUGGUUCAGAAGAGACUUAAGGAUCGAGGAUAACCCUGCACUAGCAGCAGCUGCUCGCGAAGGAUCAGUCUUCCCUGUUUUCAUUUGGUGCCCUGAAGAAGAAGGUCAGUUUCAUCCAGGAAGGGCUUCAAGAUGGUGGAUGAAACAGUCUCUUGCUCACUUGAACCAAUCCUUGAAGUCUCUUGGCUCCCACCUCACGUUUAUCAAAACACAUAGCACGGUUUCCGCUAUCUUGGACUGUGUCCGCGCCACUGGUGCCACAAAAGUCGUCUUCAACCACCUCUAUG
rnacentral:lncRNA from 1 species